CGUUUGUUACGCUCCCCCCGCCUCCCGUGGGAGAAGUCCGGUGAGAGUCCGGCGCUGACCCGCAACGGUGUGCGCGCGGACCCGGAGGUCCGCGCGUGAGCCCGAUCGCCC
rnacentral:ncRNA from 2 species